GCCCUCGGUGUCGGUGUUGUCGCUGCCUGUCGUAUUCCCGUGAUCCCCUUCUCCCUGUCGCCAGCUGUUCUGCAUCUUGCGGAGCGCCCGCUUCCUGUGGGACCCGCAGUGUGAGCAGGUUGUGAGCAGGUGCGUGAGCCUAAGGGUCAGCCCUUUGCCACUGCCUCUCCUUGCCUCAGGGAGCAUCGUCUUUGGUUGGAGCGGUGUGAUUCUGAGACAAGCUCCCGAAUCGCCCAGACUGCCCUAGCUACAGCAGACACAGAGACCUACCAGGAUGAGCAUGUCCAAUUGCUGCUGCUUGAGUCUGCC
rnacentral:sRNA from 1 species